GGGACUGUAGCUCAGUGGUUAGAGCACGGGUCGCAGGUUUGAUUCCCGCCUGUUCCAUUACUUGGGGUCGUGGGUUCGAGUCCCCCCCCUUGCG